rnacentral:lncRNA from 1 species
GUGAUAAUGGUGCCACAGCCGCUCCUUGAUUUAUUUUUGUGUUGGGAGCGUGGGUCCCCGACUGGAGUCUUCUGUGUUCCUUUGGCCUGAUCCUUGGCCUCUCUUUGCAGUCACUGUUACUGACCAGACAGAGGAAUGUGAGUGGGAAAAGCGCCAUAAAAGAGAAAUACUACCGCUCAGUAGUAAAUUGUCUGAACAACAGUAAGAGAUUUCACAACAAACAUUUUGGCAGUUGCCUUANGGGACACUAUAAAACCAUGUCUAGUAAUCAUUGGCUUGGGUUGGGAGAUCCAUGCUUUACAUCUGUUGAAGAACUUUCUUGCAAAAUCAUCGGAAAAUCAUGAGAUGGGUUGAAAGAGAUUACUUGGACACAUACUCGCUCCAAAAUACAACAGAUGAAAAGGAGAAGGUAACAUGCCAUGAGUAGUCACUUUCCUGCUCAUCAGAAAGGUGAGAAAGCUUCUGAAUAGGAUUUGGGAAGAGUUGCAGGUACUCAAAAGAGAAGCCAGAAAGGGGAACUCACAGACACAAGAGGUGUGAGAGGAGUGUUCACCAGGGAUAGGGUUCCUGCANCAUUAAUAGUUGUGCAGAAGAGGAAAUUUCAGCAGGUGUUGCCAGCAUUAGAAGCCACACCCCCAAGGCGCUCAGAGUGGCUUAGAAUACACAAUGUUAGGAAAUUCUCUGCAGUCACAGUUACAAAGACGUUAAAAAGACAUAAGGAAAAGGGAAUCAGGAGGGAAGGAGAUAUGCCAGAUGCCCAUCCAUUAUGAUCAUUGACAUGCAUCUGCAACCUUUCUUUCCCAGCAUAGCAGCAUGCAUUCAUUGGCAAGUGCAAAUAAGAUGACCCUUGCACCUCUCAGUUCCACCUUAUGGUUCUGAACAUGCUUUCUUGGAGACUUUUCAGGUGGAUGGGAGCAUCCAGUUGGUUCCUGUAAUGCUGANUCAAAUAUUCUGUGGAGCCAGUAGAAGAUAUGGAGCUAAUCUACUUUGGGGCAAUGUGUUGCCAAUAGUUGCUCAAUGGUUCCUACAAUAUCCACCAGUAUCCAGAGCAAGACGGUGUUCCCCCUGGCUGGCUGGUUAAGUAACUGGACUUCCUAAAGACUAACCUUUCCCUGAUAGACUAUCCUGACUUGACCACCUGAUCAAGAAAUAGGAAGUGAGGUGUCAUCAGUACGCUGACAAUACUCAGCUCUAAGGUUCUAGUAGCACACAGGCCUUAACUCCUGGUUUAAAAGGAACAUUGCUUGAAUUUUGCAUCAAAAAAGAACAGACACUGAGCCUAUUCACACUUAGCGAGUGGAAUGUUCCAGGUCACUCACUGGAACGGAGCAUUCACACCUGCAA